rnacentral:rRNA from 1 species
UACGUAGGGGGCUAGCGUUGUCCGGAAUCAUUGGGCGUAAAGAGCGCGUAGGCGGCUAGAUAAGUCCGGUGUGAAAGUCACAGGCUCAACCUGUGAAUGCCGCUGGAAACUGUCUGGCUAGAGUCCGGAAGGGGCGAGUGGAAUUCCUGGUGUAGAGGUGGAAUUCGUAGAUAUUAGGAAGAACACCAGUGGCGAAGGCGGCUCACUGGUCCGGUACUGACGCUGAGGUGCGAAAGCGUGGGGAGCAAACAGG